rnacentral:rRNA from 1 species
UACGGAGGGGGCAAGCGUUGUUCGGAAUUACUGGGCGUAAAGGGCUCGUAGGCGGCCCUCUCAGUCGGAUGUGAAAUCCCCAGGCUUAACCUGGGAACGGCAUCCGAGACUGGAGGGCUUGAGUUCGGGAGAGGGAUGCAGAAUUCCAGGUGUAGCGGUGAAAUGCGCAGAUAUCAGGAGGAACACCGGUGGCGAAGGCGGCCCCCUGGCUCGAUACUGACGCUGAGGUGCGAAAGCGUGGGGAGCGAACAGG